rnacentral:rRNA from 1 species
UACGUAGGGGGCGAGCGUUGUCCGGAGUUACUGGGCGUAAAGGGCGUGCAGGCGGUGCGGUAAGUUUAGCGUGACAGUCUCCGGCUUAACUGGAGAAGGCCGCUGAAAACUGCUGGACUUGAGGGCCAGAGAGGGACAUAGAAUUCCGGGUGGAGUGGUGAAAUGCGUAGAUAUCCGGAGGAAUACCAAAGGCGAAGGCAGUGUCCUGGCUGGCAACUGACGCUGAGGCGCGAAGCCAGGGAGCAAACGGGAUAGAUCC